GACGAACGCUGGCGGCGUGCUUAACACAUGCAAGUCGAACGAUGAACCCGGAGCUUGCUCCGGUGGAUUAGUGGUGAACGGGUGAGUAACACGUGACUAACUUGCCCUUGACUCUGGGAUAACUGCGGGAAACUGUAGCUAAUACCGGAUACGACCCUCGGCGGCAUCGCCAGGGGGUGGAAAGAAUUUCGGUCAAGGAUGGACUCGCGGCCUAUCAGCUAGUUGGUGAGGUAACGGCUCACCAAGGCGACGACGGGUAGCCGGCCUGAGAGGGUGACCGGCCACACUGGGACUGAGACACGGCCCAGACUCCUACGGGAGGCAGCAGUGGGGAAUUUUGGACAAUGGGGGCAACCCUGAUCCAGCAAUGCCGCGUGAGUGAAGAAGGCCUUCGGGUUGUAAAGCUCUUUUGUCAGGGAAGAAACACCGGCUCCAACACAGUCCGGGAAUGACGGUACCUGAAGAAUAAGCACCGGCUAAC
rnacentral:rRNA from 1 species